GUUGUAUAGUCAAGUAAUUAAGUGCAUGUGGUGGAUGCCUUGGCAGUCAGAGGCGAUGAAAGACGUGAUAGCCUGCGAAAAGCUCCGGGGAGGCGGCAAAUAUCCUUUGAUCCGGAGAUGUCUGAAUGGGGGAACCCACCUACUUUAAGGUAGGUAUUGCAACAUGAAUACAUAGUGUUGCAAGGCGAACGAGGGGAAGUGAAACAUCUCAGUACCCUUAGGAAAAGAAAUCAAUUGAGAUUCCCUCAGUAGCGGCGAGCGAACGGGGAUCAGCCCAUUAAGUUAUGUGUGUUUUAGUGGAACGCUCUGGGAAGUGCGAACGUAGAGGGUGAUAUUCCCGUACACGAAAGGGCACACAUAAUGAUGACGAGUAGGGCGAGGCACGUGAAACCUUGUCUGAAUAUGGGGGGACCAUCCUCCAAGGCUAAAUACUCCUGACUGACCGAUAGUGAACCAGUACCGUGAGGGAAAGGCGAAAAGAACCCCUGUGAGGGGAGUGAAAUAGAUCCUGAAACCGCAUGCAUACAAGCAGUGGGAGCACCUUCGUGGUGUGACUGCGUACCUUUUGUAUAAUGGGUCAGCGACUUAUAUUCAGUAGCGAGGUUAACCGUAUAGGGGAGCCGUAGAGAAAUCGAGUCUUAAUAGGGCGUUUAGUUGCUGGGUAUAGACCCGAAACCAGGCGAUCUAUCCAUGAGCAGGUUGAAGGUUGGGUAACACUAACUGGAGGACCGAACCCACUGUCGUUGAAAAGCCAGGGGAUGACUUGUGGAUAGGGGUGAAAGGCUAAUCAAGCCUGGUGAUAGCUGGUUCUCCCCGAAAGCUAUUUAGGUAGCGCCUCGGACGAAUACCAUAGGGGGUAGAGCACUGUUUCGGCUAGGGGGUCAUCCCGACUUACCAAACCGAUGCAAACUCCGAAUACCUAUGAGUACUAUCCGGGAGACAGACUGCGGGUGCUAACGUCCGUAGUCAAGAGGAAAACAAUCCAGACCGCCAGCUAAGGCCCCAAAAUCAUAGUUAAGUGGGAAACGAUGUGGGAAGGCAUAGACAGCUAGGAGGUUGGCUUAGAAGCAGCCACCCUUUAAAGAAAGCGUAAUAGCUCACUAGUCGAGUCGGCCUGCGCGGAAGAUGUAACGGGGCUAAAACUAUGUGCCGAAGCUGCGGANNUGCUGGAGGUAUCAGAAGUGCGAAUGCUGACGUGAGUAACGACAAAACGGGUGAAAAACCCGUUCGCCGAAAGACCAAGGGUUCCAGUCCAACGUUAAUCGGGGCUGGGUGAGUCGACCCCUAAGGCGAGGCCGAAAGGCGUAGUCGAUGGGAAAAUGGUUAAUAUUCCAUUACUUCUGUGUAAUGCGAUGAGAGGACGGAGAAGGCUAAAUCAGCCUGGCGUUGGUUGUCCAGGUGAAAGGAUGUAGGCAUGUAUCUUAGGCAAAUCCGGGGUACUCUAUGCUGAGAUCUGAUAGCAAGCUGUACUUGUACAGCGAAGUGGUUGAUGCCAUGCUUCCAGGAAAAGUCUCUAAGCUUCAGUUACACAGGAAUCGUACCCGAAACCGACACAGGUGGUCAGGUCGAGUAGACCAAGGCGCUUGAGAGAACUCUGCUGAAGGAACUAGGCAAAAUGGUACCGUAACUUCGGGAGAAGGUACGCUGUUGUUGGUGAUGGAACUCGCUUCCUGAGCUGACGACAGCCGCAGAAACCAGGCCGCUGCAACUGUUUAUUAAAAACAUAGCACUCUGCAAACACGAAAGUGGACGUAUAGGGUGUGAUGCCUGCCCGGUGCUGGAAGGUUAAUUGAUGGGGUUAGCGUAAGCGAAGCUCUUGAUCGAAGCCCCAGUAAACGGCGGCCGUAACUAUAACGGUCCUAAGGUAGCGAAAUUCCUUGUCGGGUAAGUUCCGACCUGCACGAAUGGCAUAAUGAUGGCGGCGCUGUCUCCAGCAGAGGCUCAGUGAAAUCGAAAUCGCUGUGAAGAUGCAGUGUACCCGCGGCUAGACGGAAAGACCCCGUGAACCUUUACUGCAGCUUGACACUGAACUUUGACCUUACUUGUGUAGGAUAGGUGGGAGGCUUUGAAGCUGGAACGCUAGUUCCAGUGGAGCCGUCCUUGAAAUACCACCCUGGUAAUGUUGAGGUUCUAACUCUGUCCCGUGAUCCGGGACGAGGACCGUGUCUGGUGGGUAGUUUGACUGGGGCGGUCUCCUCCUAAAGAGUAACGGAGGAGUACGAAGGUGCGCUCAGCGUGGUCGGAAAUCACGCGUAGAGUAUAAAGGCAAAAGCGCGCUUAACUGCGAGACCCACAAGUCGAGCAGGUACGAAAGUAGGUCUUAGUGAUCCGGUGGUUCUGUAUGGAAGGGCCAUCGCUCAACGGAUAAAAGGUACUCUGGGGAUAACAGGCUGAUACCGCCCAAGAGUUCAUAUCGACGGCGGUGUUUGGCACCUCGAUGUCGGCUCAUCUCAUCCUGGGGCUGAAGCAGGUCCCAAGGGUAUGGCUGUUCGCCAUUUAAAGAGGUACGCGAGCUGGGUUUAGAACGUCGUGAGACAGUUCGGUCCCUAUCUACCGUGGGCGCUGGAAAUUUGAGAGGAUCUGCUCCUAGUACGAGAGGACCAGAGUGGACGAACCUCUGGUGUACCGGUUGUGACGCCAGUCGCAUCGCCGGGUAGCUAUGUUCGGAAGGGAUAACCGCUGAAAGCAUCUAAGCGGGAAGCCUACCUCAAGAUAAGAUUUCCCUAGGACUUUAUGUCCUCUAAAGAGCCGUUCGAGACUAGGACGUUGAUAGGUUGGAUGUGGAAGCAUAGUGAUAUGUGAAGCUGACCAAUACUAAUUGCUCGUGAGGCUUGACUAUACAACACCCAAGCAGUUG
rnacentral:rRNA from 1 species